rnacentral:rRNA from 1 species
AUUGAACGCUGGCGGCAGGCCUAACACAUGCAAGUCGAGCGAGCGGCGGACGGGUGAGUAAUGUAUGGGGACUGCCCGAUAGAGGGGGAUAACUACUGGAAACGGUAGCUAAUACCGCAUACUAUCGGAUAACCCAUAUGGGAUUAGCUAGUAGGUGAGGUAAUGGCUCACCUAGGCGACGAUCCCUAGCUGGUCUGAGCGGAUGAUCAGCCACACUGGGACUGAGACACGGCCCAGACGUCUACGGAGGAAGCAGUGGGGAAGAUUUCACAAUGUGCGCAAGCCUGAUGCAGCCAUGCCGCGGGUGUGAAGAAGGCCUUCGGGUUGUAAAGCACUUUCAGAGAGGAGGCGUUACUCGCAGAAGAAGCACCGGCUAACUCCGUGCCAGCAGCCGCGGUAAUAC